GGCCAGAGCCGCGGCAGAGGCAGAGGAGGGAGCUAGGAGGUGAGACCCGCUCCACCCUGCUCGCCUAGGCUCGGCGGAGGCUAAGAGCAGGGCAGCCUCCUCUGCCCGGCGCCCGCUGAGCCCCGGCAUCUGGAACUCAGGGCCCUGGCGCUCCAGGGGCGGGAACUGGCCGGGAGGACCGCGCGGGAGAGCACGGAUGGGCACCCUGGGCUCGAUGUAAGUGGCCUGGCCAGCGUGGAGCACGAGACCAAAAAGAAGAAUGUACUUCAUCUGGUUGGGCUGGAUUCCCUCUGAUAAGCCUUCCCAGUUGACUGAAAGAUGAGGCUAGGCUCUAGCAAGUUGAAGUCAAACCAGCUCCUUCAAGAAGCUUUGAGCAGAAUGAAGUGGGGAGGACCCAGCUUCCAGCCCAGGAAGCCCACUGUACCUGGAGCCAUCUGGGAUAAGACUUUGACCCAUGACUCCCAUAUCCACAGCCUGUCCAUCCUAGCCCAUCCCAGUUUAUCCUGUAUCAUUUGAGCUGGGAUUCCCACAUCCUCUGAGUUGGAAGUCCCAUCUCAAGUCUUCAAUAAAGACUCUUGAAUAUUGAAUCACAUUAA
rnacentral:lncRNA from 1 species